rnacentral:rRNA from 1 species
GACGAACCGAGCAAACGUUAUUCGGAAUCACUGGGCUUAAAGGGCGCGUAGGCGGGCAUCCAAGUCUGUGGUGAAAUCCGGCAGCUUAACUGUCGAACUGCCGUGGAUACUGGGUGUCUCGAGGGAGGUAGGGGCGUGCGGAACUAUUGGUGGAGCGGUGAAAUGCGUUGAUAUCAAUAGGAACACCGGUGGCGAAAGCGGCUCACUGGGUCUCUUACUGACGCUGGAGGCACGAAAGCUAGGGUAGCGAACGGG